GACAGAGGGUGCAAACGUUGCUCGGAAUUACUGGGCGUAAAGCGCGUGUAGGCGGAUCGGUGUGUCGGGUGUGAAAUCCCUGGGCUCAACCCAGGAACUGCACUUGAAACUACCGGUCUCGAGUGGUGGAGAGGGAAGUGGAAUUCCUGGUGUAGAGGUGAAAUUCGUAGAUAUCAGGAGGAACACCAGUGGCGAAGGCGGCUUCCUGGACACCAACUGACGCUGAGACGCGAAAGCGUGGGGAGCAAACAGG
rnacentral:rRNA from 1 species